rnacentral:lncRNA from 1 species
AGGACUCUAUUCAUAGGAGAAAUCUCUGAAUUUUAGACUUUAUUUUUGGAUGGGCAUAAAAGAAAAUGUGGCAAAAUAGGAAGCUCACUCCAUAUUUUCUUCACUAGUGUCCACCCCAUAUGAUUUUUGUUUGCCUUACUCGCACUGAAUUGAUGGGUCGGGCCCAGGUCUUUAAUUCUUGUGCUGGAUCAGGCUCGGACUGGCAAAAUUCUAUCGAUAUCAGACUCUAGCCUGGUUCGGCAAUUGCUCCAGUUUAAGCUAGGAAAAUUUUCUUUCAGGUAUGAUGAACUAAAACUUACAGACAAUUAGGUGGUAGGAUGAAGAAGAAACA